AGUCUAUAUCAGGUAAUUGCUCCAAUCCGCCCCUGUGGCGGGUUGGAGAGGAAAGUCCGAACACUCGCCGGUGGCAACAUCGCGCAGAAAGGUAGCGGGUAACGCCCGUCCGCCGUAAGGCGUGAGAUGCGAACAGAGACGCCGAAAUUCGAAAGGAAAUCGGCUCCCCGAUGCAAAUCGGGGAGAGUCCCGGCAGUAAUGCCGGGGUUGAAACGGCUAAAUUCUUACCCGAGUGCAAGGCCGUGUCUUCCGACAGUACGUCGGGGGAAGUGCCGCUCGAGCUUUGCAGUAAUGCAAGGCCUAGAUAAAUAAUUACCCAUCCUUCGUUAAGAAGGAGGACAGAAUUCGGCUUAUAGAUAUAGAUUGCGA
rnacentral:RNase_P_RNA from 1 species